rnacentral:rRNA from 1 species
CCUACGGGAGGCAGCAGUGGGGAAUCUUGCGCAAUGGGCGAAAGCCUGACGUAGCAACGCCGCGUGAGGGACGAAGGUUUUCUGAAUUGUAAACCUCUUUCAGCAGGGAAGAUAAUGACGGUACCUGCAGAAGAAGCACCGGCUAACUACGUGCCAGCAGCCGCGGUGAUACGUAGGGUGCAAGCGUUGUCCGGAUUUAUUGGGCGUAAAGAGCUCGUAGGCGGUUUGGUAAGUCGGUUGUGAAAUCCCCAGGCUCAACCUGGGGCCUGCAUUCGAUACUGCCAUGACUAGAGUUUGGUAGGGGACCACGGAAUUCCUGGUGUAGCGGUGGAAUGCGCAGAUAUCAGGAGGAACACCAGUAGCGAAGGCGGUGGUCUGGGGCCAAUACUGACGCUGAGGAGCGAAAGCGUGGGGAGCAAACAGGAUUAGAUACCCUGGUAGUCCACGCCGUAAACGGUGGGCAACUAGGUGUGGGGACCUAUUCAACGGUUUCGCGCCGACGCUAACGCAUUAAGUGCCCCGCCUGGAGGUACGGCCGCGAGGACGUAAACUACAACGAAGUAGACGGACGUGAGACGUGCCGAACGGACGACGACGAGGGAGGUAGG